UCAGUCGACUCCUACGGGGAGGCAGCAGUGGGGAAUUUGGACAAUGGGCGAAAGCCUGAUCCAGCAAUGCCGCGUGCAGGAUGAAGGCCCUCGGGUUGUAAACUGCUUUGUACGGAACGAAAGCCUGGGGCUAAUAUCCCCGGGUCAUGACGGUACCGUAAGAAUAAGCACCGGCUAACUACGUGCCAGCAGCCGCGGUAAUACGUAGGGUGCAAGCGUUAAUCGGAAUUACUGGGCGUAAAGCGUGCGCAGGCGGUUUGUUAAGACAGUGGUGAAAUCCCCGGGCUCAACCUGGGAACUGCCAUUGUGACUGCAAGGCUAGAGUGCGGCAGAGGGGGAGUGGAAUUCCGCGUGUAGCAGUGAAAUGCGUAGAUAUGCGGAGGAACACCGAUGGCGAAGGCAAUCCCCUGGGCCUGCACUGACGCUCAUGCACGAAAGCGUGGGGAGCAAACAGGAUUAGAUACCCUGGUAG
rnacentral:rRNA from 1 species